GUGUUAUCAUUUUUAGUGCCUCGUCGAUUUACAUCCAACGUCGAUGUGACCCCAAGAGUAAAGACUUUUUAAACGAAACGCAAAUCAGUAAUAGUUACCGGACUGAUUCAAACGAGUCGACACUGAUUAAUCGAUUCCAGAUGAGUCGGUAAAUACAGUGCACGGUAGCGGCAUCUGGUGUUCAAAACGUUGAACUGCACAUAGUAAUCUUGGAGCUUAUGAAUCAUAUCUCCAGGAACAUGACAAUCCAUCCAUUACCACUGCUCACUAUGGGCUUCCACAAUCUUGCACUCUAAAUCCCAUUUGCACAUAUUGGACAUGGCUGUGCUGGCAGUCUAUUGCUAUUGUUGUCUGCAAGCACAGCUUUGGAGCCUGGGAUGCCAAGGGAACUCAUAGUGGAGGUGACUUUCUCCUUUUGUAAGUGCUAAUGAGCCUACAAGCCCCUACACAGAUUCCAUCCACGUAGUGGGAGAUAGACUUACGUAACUACAGAACUAUGCCACUCUGUCAUGUUAGACUAAUUGCUAUGUGUAGUAGAAAGUUCUUUAACUUAUUAUACAAUCUUCAUCUUACAUGGUGUGUGUGUGCGUGUGUGUGUGUGUUGUUCCCAAUAAACCCGAACAAUGAAUAAUAAUGAAUAAUCAGAUGU